ensembl:lncRNA
CGGGGCUGCCCACCACGGAAGGCCCGGAAAGGAGGGGUCAGCAUCCCGAGGGGACAGGACCCUCCAUUGGCUCUGGCUUUUCGGGGGGGUGUGCUGACCCUAGGCCACCGUCCAGGGUGCUCUGCCCCCUGCCCCAGGCAGACCGUCUCUCUCUCAGCGUCCCGCAAGCUCAUCUCCGGGCCCCAGCCCAGCAAACCCAGGUGAGGGGCCUGCCUGGUGACCGGGGCACAUCGCCCAGGGGAGGGGCUGUUCCCAGUGGGAAAGGAGUGGCCGUGGCCACGGACUGGGGGUCCUAGUCAGGACAGACGGGAUUCCGGGAACUCCACUCACUGUCCAGAAAGUGACCCGAUAGCCACCCCAGAGUUGUCCUGACAGGACCUUAAAGCCUGGGAAGCCGACCUGCGCUGAGAGGCCUAUGGUGAUUGGGGAGGACGUGGGGGCCUCCAGCGGCCCAGGACACCAAGCGGACAGGACGGGCCCUGUACUGGGGGUCUUGGCCCAAAGCCCCCACUACACAGUGAGACAGACCUGAAACCAGAAAAGUCUUUAUUGCAAAGGUACAAAAGCGUCACAGCAGAGAUGUACAGCAAUAAAUUAGGUGGUGGCCGUGAGGGGACAGGGCAGGUGUGGGCCACGACAUAAGGUCUCUUCUCAAUAAUUUAUAUCAUGAUAAAAGCAGCACAAAAAUAAAUAUUGAAAUGAAACUGCUGGGCAGGCAGAGGCGGGGAAAACCGGUGGGUGCCGAGCUUACGAAGGGGAGGCCCCGUCCCCCGGGGGGCCAGGCCCUGCGGGUGUCAGGGACUCGUGAGUCAGAAGCACAGGAGGACAAACCCACGCCACAAAGACGUCCCUGCCUUUUGUCUUAAAUAAAAAACCCAUAUAUUAAAAUUGUGACAAUGACAUCUCAAUGAUCCAAAAAGAAAAGCAGGAGGGAGCGAGCCAGUCUUCCUUCCCUGGCCCCUGAUCCCGGGAGGGCAAUGGGCAGCUGCGGGGACAGCUCCUCCGAGGCCCCAGCCAGCACUCGCCCACCUGCACCCCACGGGACGGGGCGCUCUGUGAACCCGGGGCGGCCACUGGGCAGGACAGCCGGCCAGGGUGGGCAGGGGGUGCGCCCAGGUGCCCAGGCCAUCUGCGGGACCCAAGUCAGAUGGGCAGGAGGGGAGACCAAGGGCAGCGGGAGGCGACCGGGCCUCCCACCUCGGGCUGCGAGCUGGUGCCUGAGGAGCCAGGCGGGGUGGCGACAGGUUCCCACUGCCCUGCCCUCGACGGCUGCUCUGCUCUAAGAGGCUGACAGUACCCAACAGGAAAAGAGUUACGAAAAGUCUGUACGAUAAAAUGUGUAUAUAAUUUUAUAUAUAUAUAUAUAUACUUUUCUCUCUUUUUUAAAUAUUUCCCCAUGGUCCUUAUUGACAUCCAAUGUGGAUUACCUACCAUGGCUAUGCGAUCAACAGCUUUUGCUUACACACCGGGCCUUUCUGUUACACACCAGGUUGUGUAAGGAUCCAGCGCCCCAGACCCUCCGCCUUCUCCCAGGACAGGGACAAGGCCAUGUGGCAAUGCUGCUGGAGAGGCCCAGGUGCCCUGUCUGCUCCUGCCAGCAGACACAGAAGCUGGACGCAGCCCUUGGGGCUGUCAGUCCUCCCCCAACCCUGGCAUGGCUGACACCUGCUUGCUGGGGGUCUCCCUGGGUGGCAGGGCACAAGAGGAAACCGGGAGCUGGAGCCCAGCGGCUUCUGGCCAGUGAUGGGGCUCAGCAGCUCACUCAGACCCAGGGCCGUGGCCCCAGCAUCCUCCCAGGAGGGGUAGAAGUGGCCGUCCAUGCCCAGCCCACACAGGGAGCCCCCGCGGUGGCUCUCAAGGAAGGGAAGCCCCAGCAAAGGUCACCUGCCCCAGAAAGGGCAGGUGAAGGUUCCAGGGAACUCAGCACCAGGCUCGCAGAGUCCCCUCGUCUCCUCUGUGCUGACACACCAUCCAGGUGCUUCCGGGAGGCCCGUCCGGUCCGUGUGGACUUCCUGGCCCAGAGCCUGCCACCUCGCCCACCAUCACCUCCUCUGCCCCAUUCAAGCCCGCCUCGUCUUCUGAUCCCACCCAGCCCCCUGCUCUCUCACCUCCUCCAGCAGUGGGAGCCACAGGCAGCCGGGCGCCCCCCAGCUCCAUGGCCGCUCCGGAGGCCUCGCUGACAGCCCGCCGUUCCGCACAGAACCUGCUCCCCACCCACCUCCCAGCCCCCAAGGCCCAUCGCCCCCUUCCCAUGCUGGGCACCACCUUCCCGGGCUCUGCGAGGCGGCCGCAGUGGGGGCUGGGUCCCCAGGCCAGGCUGCCACUGCUCCUCAAUAGGGACCUCCUUCCGGCCACCCCGACACAGAGAGAAAACUCACAACACUCAUGCACCUGCACCCACAGGCCCCCCCAGGACCACUUGCAACCAGCCACUCCUCCCAGGCCCCUGGUGCUGCAGGUGCUCUUCUGAGGUGGCAGGGGGACAGGCACGCUGACGUGUGUUGACAGGCUGCUGGUGGGAGGGGUGGAAGACGGAGCCCUUGCCACCCAGGCCACAGGGCCAGGGACCUGCUGAGGGCCCUCCCUGCAGACAUCCCAACUCCCCCGGCACAGGACACAGGCUCCGGAAGAGAGACAGUCCGCAGAGAGCUGGCAGGGCCCAGAGGAAGGCGAGGUGCGUGUGUGUGCAUGUGCGUGUGUGUGGGCGUGUGGGCAGGCGUGCGGCACACGGGCUCACAGGCCCCUAACUCUUCAUCAGGCCCCUGUGACCUCGCCCCGCCAGGAGCCCCACGGGAGCCUGUGCUUGGACUCGGGGUUUCAGGGGUCUGCUCCCCAUGGGACCCUCCAACAAGCACGAGGGACAGCCCCUCUGGCCCCACCGCCGGCCCCCUCGCCCAACCGGGGCCGGCACUAGGAGGCGGCCGAGAAGGGCACGGAGCUGGAGAUCUCAGCGGACUUGACGAUGGUGAUGACGCUGGUGGUGGCCACCUUGGUGGGCGUGAUGGGCCCGCGCGCCACGGUGCGGGCAAAGGUCUGCAGGGCCUCGUACUUGGAGCGCAGGGCGUCCAGCUCCAGCUUCAUGCUGCUGUUCUCACGCGCCAGCUUCUCCACCUCCUGCUGCAGCUCCACGCGCUGCCGCUCCAGCUCCUCCUUCUGCGUCACCCGCUUGAUGCGGCAGCUGGCGGCGUAGCCGCGGUUCUUGAGCGUGCGCCGGCGCUGCUUCAGACGGACCACCUCCUCCUUGGUGAGGCCACAGUGAAGGGCCGAGGCACGCAGCGGCCAGGCCCCCUCCCGAGAACAGCCGUGCCCAGCACUUGAGCAGUGCGCCGGCCAGGGGCAGCACCCUGCCCCGCCAAAAGCCUGUCACCCCCGACCCAGCCUGGCUCCCCGAGAAGCAGGGCCCCUUCGGGGAGCCCCUGCCCUUGCAGAGCUCACCCCAACGAGGGACGGGUGGAGCCCUGUGUCGGCCCCAGCCCGGCCCCGCCCUCCCGGCAGACCCACCUCCGCGAAGGGCACUGCAGCUGUGACAUCACCGCCGCCACCUAGACUGCCCCACAGCCAUGACCUGAGGCCCAGACGGUGGCCAGAGGCUCCCCACGCCAGCCAGCCCGGACCCGGGAGGUGGGAGCCACCACCUCACGCGCUCAUGGACUGUCUGGCGGGAGUCGUCCCCGCCGCCCGCCAGCCCCCCUACGCCCGCCCUUCUCAUUUUCGCGUCUGCAUUGUGUCACACAUUCUAAUCAUUCAUGAAAAAGCCAGCCAAAGCAUCCCAAGCAUGAUUCCCCUCUGAUAGUUGCCAUGGUGACCUUGGGAAGUAGCCAACCCCUGAUGGUCGCCAUGGAAACAGAGAAGCCCACAGCAACAAUGGCUUCGGGCUGGCGGUGCAGACACGGCAGGUUGCGGGACAGUAAACAAACCCUUGGUGCCCUGGCAGCCAGGGGGGCAGGAGGGGAACAGGCACCUGGCACACUGACGCCAGCUUACGGGAUCAGGGUCCGCUCCCCAGGUUCCAAACGCCACGUGAAGUGAACUGAGCAGAGAGACCGUCAGAGAAACGCGCCCAAGGAGGGGAAAUGGGGCCCCAGAGACGGAGCCGCAUCAAAGCCUCCAUCUGGGGGGAGCGAGACUCAGGGGGAUGGGCUCCACAACGCCCACAGUCCUGGGACCCUCACUGCAGCAUGGCCUGGGCCUCCACCCAUUGGCCCUGCCGCCAAGGGCCCGCCCGCCCCUCACCCCAGAGGCUGCCAACACGACAGAGGGGCCGGCACCCAGGCCUGCAGACGCCGACUGCCCCUUGCAUCGUGGCUGCUCUCCCAGGUACUAAUGAUGGCGGUGGAGAGCAGGACGGCAGCGGGGCCGAGCCGGGUAUGGCCUCCGGGGGCCCGCACUCCUCGGCACCCCUCGCAAGGUUUCACACGGGUGCCCGAGCCAGACACGCAGCAGGCUGAGGCAACCCUAGCAGGGAGCUAAGAGCCGCUUCCUGACAGUGGCUUGAUGCCCUGGCAUCUGGGGGCACCAACGAGCACCCCACAGGCCCGCCCCUCCCUGCAGGUGCGGGGGUCAAAGCCAGGCUGAAGGAGUCUCCAGGAGCCUGGCGGGAGCCCGGCGGCUGGGAGAGCCUGAGAAACUUCUCCAUGGCGGGCGGGUGGCCGGCGGGGACCGUUCCAGCUCACACUCCCAAGCACGUCAGCACACAAGGGCCCGGAGCCGCCAGGGCAUAGCUGUGCGGUGAGUCACCAGCUGUUUACAGAGCUGGGAGCUCACAUUCCCACAGCCCCGAGGCCCCUCCCACCCUGCCAGGACCCGAUGGGAAAAGGAAGGCCCCAGCCAAGGAGGGGCCUGCUCAGACCCCCCACCACACCCCACAGGCGUUCUGUGGCCCCCCCCCCCCCCGGGGAUGGUGACAUGCCAGCUCAGCCAGGUCAUGGGCCGUGUUCAGGGCAGGGAUGCCCCCCGGGGACCUGACCACCAGGAAUCACGUGGCGGGACACCUAGGUGACCAGGACGCGCACAGGCCUGGGCCGCAGCGCUCGGCGAGCUUGGCCUCCUCCCCUGCACAUAAGGGUCUAUCGCCCACAUCAGCGAGGUGAAGGUUGCCCGGGCAUAGCCCCGUGUUCAUGGGCUCUGAGCCCAUCUCGCCUGCGCCCCUGGACUAAUGGGGGCCCACCACCAUGGGCAAGGAGCCUCAGCAGAGACGGGAGAGCAGCCCUGGGGUCCCGCCUGGGGUCUGAGCGAGGAGGACGCCUCUCUCUAAGAGAGGGCACCAUGGUGGGGUCCGACCUCAGGGAACUGUCCCUAGUUCUCAGACCUUCUCUCCAAAGAGAGUGACAGGAGGACUAGAGGAGCGAACGUGCCGAGGUGACGGCUGCCCUGGUCUCGAGACAAAGUUGGGGAGUAAUUCAGUAAACCCUCUUCUCUCUGUGGGUCUUAAUCUCCUCUCCUGAAAAAUGAGGGGAUCAGAAAUGGGGCCCCAGGGUCUUGUCCAGCUCCCAAAGGUUCUCGGCUGGGUCCAAUGGGUGACGCUAGGAGAGAGACCCUGGCUGGGGGCUCCAUUCUCAACCCCCAGACUUCAGGGUCUGUACCAGAGGCCCCCUGAGGAACCAGAGACGGGGGGAGGCUGGGAAACCCCAGGCAGGACACCAUUGCACAGCUCUGUGCUCAUAAGCAGGACCCCCACUGCCUCGGCCCCUUCAGGGACCCGCUUUCCUGGGAAGUUUUCACCAACUGCUGGAGAGACGCGCUGCCCACCCGCCCCGUCUGCGCCCCAGCGGCCUGCCCCGCGAGAACCUCAUCGCACAGCCACAGGCUCCAGGUCCAGGGGCAGAGAGCCCUUCUCUUGGGAACUCAGUACACAGAGAAGAGCUGCACUGUCCCUUACCUCUACCCAAAAUACACAAAACACAUGUGCUAUCGACCUAAAGACACUCCAAACAUUAGAAAAAGGACAACCUGCUUUUGGUUCAGAGGAGCGAGGUUCAGAGGAGAGUUUCGGAUGAGUGAAAAAGAGUCAGUGAAACAAGUGAUUUUAAAACAACUGUCCUAAAAUGGGUAUUUGUAAGCCACGGAACCUCAGGCAACCUCCACGGGCACCAGAGCACACACAGGAAGAACUGUCUUCUGAGCCGGCCGGAACCCAGCCGGGGUUACACACUGCAGCCUGGCGCGGUGGGGCCAGGCGCGCGCCCCAGAAGCUGGCCUCCCCUCCUGUCAAGGGUCUAACGCCACAUUACCGCAUCAGCAACCGUCAGCGCCAAAAACGCCUCUCCAACAGCUGCCCACGAGGAUGCUCCAGCUGGGCUGUCCCACGUCCACGGACCGACAAGUCUUAGCGAUGCCGUGUGCAGAGAGCCCGCGCUCCCAGGGGCUUUCUGAUGCCACUCCAGUCACCCGAGCAGCUCAGCGGCCCGUGCCAGGCUGCGUCUGGAACGGUGUGUCUGCACGUCCGCUGCGUGCACCCACUUGCCCAUCCAAGUGGGAGUGACCACGCGCGUCCCCUUCAGCCCAGAGGGGGCCGCUGGUCAGGAGCGGGCGCAGUCAGCACUUAGAACGUGGAACACCUUUCGGGCGACUAUUUUUCUAACUGAAGAGGCUGGUUUUCAACCCAAAGCCAGAAACUUCAUUCUGACGUACAUCUAAACAAGGUGAACAAGGAAGGAUAAUUUCCUUUAAAAGCAGAGGAAACACCCGAGCAGCUCAGAUGGAGUCAGCUCCAGUGACCGCACAGUUUGGAAUAAAUUAGGGAGCCCGGGGCGCCCCGCCCCUUCCGGCCCGUAAAGAACAGGGCAGGGCGACUCUGCCCAGGGGAGCUGGGCAUCGCGGCCCUGCGCUCCGGGAGGGCGGGGCAGGUGGCCCAGGUUCCACCAUCCACCACUGCCUUCCAGAAGCAGGUGCGUCCAAGGCCAGGAUCUCGGGUGCCUUCGGGUUCCUUUUUACUUUCCAACUCCCAGCAAACGCCUACUGCUUGGCACUAGCUCGUGUGGGAAACUCACAGCCCUGGCCGUCCCCAGCACACUCCGGCCCUCUCUGGGCUGGGCCCGGGUUGGGGGUUUCUCCACCAAUAACACCAGGCCCAGGCAGCUGAUGGGAGCCAGGGCCCCACCCAAGGAUAAUCUCCUAGGUUGCCAUCAUGUAGGAGAAAAGAUUUUGAGUUUCAAAGGGCUCCAAUGCUGACUUAACGACUGGCCCACCCACUCAUCUGGCCUGUGAGCUGCAUGCGGGCAGGAAGCUGAACCUCUGGCACCUGUUCCAGCGGGCAGAGAGCGGAGGCGGCCGCUCCGGAGCCUCCCAGCAACUGCUAGGCGUGGGGUACCCCUCCCACUGCCAUCCUCCCAGGUCCCCAAGGCUGUCAGGGUGGGGAAGAGGGAGGAGGGGAGCCGAGGGGUUCCGUCUUGGAGGAGCAGGUUCCCACUCCAGGCCGCAGAGCAGCAACCGCUUCACCUGACAGGUGCAAACCCUGAAGCCAGAAGCCACCCAGAUGUGGCCGACUCUGCUCUGCAGGGCUGCGGGCCUCUCACAGGUGACCAAAGCUGAGCGCCCCUCCGGCUGGCUGCACGGCGGGGUUGACCCACACAGCGGGCUCCUGACAAACAAGCAAACGCUGACUCGUCCACAGUGACCUGUUGCCUCACCGGCUGAACACAGGCCCCAGGACCAGGAGGGCUUGGGACCACCUCCAGACCACCCUGCCCGCCUCCGGACACAGGGUUCUGCUGAUGUCACACCCCAGCUCCCCUCAACGUGGGGGGUGUCCCGCAGCACCUCGCUGUGCACCCCACCAGCCCGGCCCACACCCAGCCUGCAGGCUGGCCCUGGCUGGCUGCCCUCCGGCAAGACAAGACUGUCUGCCCGGCUUGGGGGACGUCUGGUCACCUUGUGUUUGCGGUUCGAGGAAGCUGUGUCAUCCUGGCUCCAUCCGGAGCCAUCUCAUGCUGCCCAGGGCUCCAGUCAGCCUCAACCUCCACGUGUAGCCAGGAUGCUCCCUGGAAAAACCGACAGGCCCGAGACACACGCGUCUCCCGCAGCUGCCCUCCCGUGUCUCCAGCUCAGACGACCCACCAUGGCAUUCACGCAGACAUCACCCCCCAGGCCUCACCUCUCCCUCCACGGCCGCUCGCUGACCCCAGCCUGCUGGCCUCAACCGAGUCUUCCUGCAGAUGCUCUGGCCCCCCGCUUCUCAUCAGGACUCCUGCCUCAGUCCCUCAAAUGCAGCCCCCCAGGCAGGCGGAGGGACCCACUGGCUCAGAGUCCCUCCCAAGCUGCCCAUUCCCUUGGCCACCUGUCGCCAUUCCAGGCCUCCACCUCUGGCUUCUGACAGCAGCCCCCCCCCCCCCCCCCCGCAAUCUGCACUGGCUUCGCACCCUUCUCCCGUCACCCCUGCCCUCCCCUCUCCAGCCCUCGCUUCACCAGAAAGCCCCAUUCCUGCCCUCCUUGUAAUGGGUGGGCGCCUGGUCUUUCUGUUGGAGCCCUGCCUCCCUCACUGGGCGGAGAGCAGGGGGCACUCUGACCUACACCCGCUCCCCCAACUCCUGGCAGGUGACAGGGGCCGCACAAACAGGUGUGUCAGCACUGCACUGAAGGGAGGGAGCCUAGGGGACACCUUCUACCCCACACCUCUGUGCCACCCCUUGCCCAGGACGCCCAGACAUCAGGCAGGGUGCCCCACUGGACCCUGGACCCGGGGCUCUGCCACCGCAGGCCAGGCGAGAACCCUCGGGACUUGGUUUCCUCAUCUAAGAUGGGGGCGGGGGUGUGUGUGUGUGUGGACUGUGUGCCAACCUAGGUUCACUUCUACCUGCUCCGAAACCCUAUGACUUUAAGGUGACACUUUCAGUUUCCUGAAACUGUAAGAAAGAGGAAACACGACGAGCCCGUGACUUAUAAAAAGCAAAAGUAAAUAGCGGAGCGAUGCAUCUCCCAUUGCAGAGAACGUGGGGGGGUUGGGGGGGAGGGAGGGUGAGUCACUGUUUACUGCUCAGGGGGAGCAGCUUCACAGUGGACGCUCCCAGCCCAUUUCCCGUGUGGACUGGACCCUGAAUCCAGAAAGUCCACACCAGAAACCUUUAGACCCAGGCAGGACUUCUUCUAGGUCGCCUGUGACUGUAAACAAACUCCGCAGAGUGAAAGCGUGCACGGCGGACAAAGAACAGACCGGAACCCGACCUCACGCAGUGGCAGCCUGGGCGCUGGAGAAAGGGCUGGAACGCAGCAAGCCCCGCACUCAGGAAGAGCGACUCCCCCAGUAGCCUCGACUCAACUCCCAUUUUUAGCAACCACCUUGAAAGUAAGCGACGCUGAACUUGGACCCGGGCCCUUAAAGUCCAGCGACCUUCAAGCACAAAAGGAAAUGCGCUCCGGGGAGAAGCCUCGCUUUGUGUUUUUGAGUUAAUAAACAUUUUAUUUUGGAAUAAAGAGAGGUCUAGUUGUAAGUUAUGAAAGCAGACGCCCUCUCCCGAGCUCAAACUCGGACAUUCCUACUGGGUCACCACUGAGGAAGGGCCAUGCUUAGGAAGCCUGUCAGCUACCCACAAUGCAACAGGUUGCAGACCUCUCCCACCUGCUUAGACUAACAUUUUUUUUAAACAGCGCCAUUCCCCCACCAAAGACACCAGGCUCAGAGCCCAGGCCCCAGAGCUGGCACACAGGACACACAGCUGCACUUUCUCAAGAUACCUGCUCCGUGAUCGCCGUGACAGCAAACCUCACCAACGCCAGUAAACGGGUCAGGGGAGAGCGGGUGGGCACCCAAGCCACACUCGUGGGAGCCCAGUGAUUCUGUGUCGGGUUCCCGAGGCCAGGCACCCGGCAAGAGGAGGUGGCUGAGGGUUGGUCAACUGUUGAAUGAACUGUUAGGUGGGACAUCCCAUUUCUGCCUCAGCUACAACAGCUGUGUGAAAGGUCAAAGGAACGUAAUCAUUAACACAAGACACAGCAGGGAACUUCCAGCAAGCCCGAACACGGGCCCCUCCAGCAUGUGUUCUGCGUUGCCCAGAAGACCCCACAAACUACCACGACAGACAGAUGGCAAGGCGGUCUGCCUUUCCUGGGGCAGACCUAGGCACCCAGCCAAAUAGCCGCGUCCCCUCCGAGGUCCCGGGGAAGGCGCGUGGAAGAGGCAGAGACAUUAUCUGUUUCCCAAAGUCAGCAGAAUCACAGAAAAAAAGCCGCAUUUAGAGUUAGAAGACACGGAGGCCCCCCCCCGUUCGCAGAUGUGGAAAAUGAGACCGCGGGCCACGGGGGAAGCGACACGUUCGCCCUGUCCCCCUCCCCACCCCACGCCUCCAGAGCAGGGCUCUCUCCGGGAAACGGCUGGCAGGAGGAGACCACCUGGCUGCACGCGUCCAGGACACACCACCCUGUCUACAGGGCAGGCAGGCUCACACAGGAGGAAAAGGCACUUGACGUCCCCCCACGACGGACACCCCCAU